rnacentral:rRNA from 1 species
UUCCAGACUCCUACGGGAGGCAGCAGUGGGGAAUAUUGCACAAUGGGGGAAACCCUGAUGCAGCAACGCCGCGUGAGUGAAGAAGUAUUUCGGUAUGUAAAGCUCUAUCAGCAGGGAAGAAAAUGACGGUACCUGACUAAGAAGCCCCGGCUAACUACGUGCCAGCAGCCGCGGUAAUACGUAGGGGGCAAGCGUUAUCCGGAUUUACUGGGUGUAAAGGGGGCGCAGACGGCAGCGCAAGCCAGGAGUGAAAGCCCGGGGCCCAACCCCGGGACUGCUCUUGGAACUGCGCGGCUGGAGUGCAGGAGGGGCAGGCGGAAUUCCUGGUGUAGCGGUGAAAUGCGUAGAUAUCAGGAGGAACACCGGUGGCGAAGGCGGCCUGCUGGACCGUGACUGACGUUGAGGCUCGAGAGCGUGGGGAGCAAACAGGAUUAGAUACCCCAGUAA